GUGCUCGUGAGGGCGCAGAAGCUGUGCUGGGGGGGGAGGGGGAGGGCAGCGGCGACGUCACCGGCACGAAUCCCCUGCGAGGCAACCGUGAACGUGGCCGGAGGUGCUUGAAGUUGCGGUCUCGAAGUGGGGGCGUUCCCGGUCCCUACACGGAUGAGCAUGUCUGUGCCAGGCAGCUGUCCCCAAAGCCACACCACCCGAGCGGCACCGAGCACCUGGACAAAGUUCCUAAGAGGCCACCUGCCCUCACCGUCUUGACCGCCUGCGUCGCCUCCUCCAGCCCCACCGUGUUUCUCUUGAGGCAGCAGGACCAGAAUGACCCAUAGCAUCUUAGGCACCCUGCGACGAGCCCAGUACUGUGCCUGGCGUCUUCUGUUGGUCUCCAAGACUCCGUGACGGCCAGCAUCGUAGCCCCAACAGCGCCCCGUCCCACGGCCAAGCUAAAAGACUAGUGAGCCUUCUCUGGAAGAACUUAGAGCCCGCAGCUACUCACUCUGUCCCAUCUCGAAGCUUGGCUAGUAUUUCCUGGCCUCUUCUCUUGGAAUCUCCUUUUUUUCCCCUCCAAUGAAUUGUUGCAGACUGGUCA